GGCUUGGUAAUUGGAUUAGGGAGAGUUAAACGGACCAUCGAGUAUCCAUUGGAGGGCAAGUCUGGUGCCAGCAGCUGCGGUAAUACCAGCUCCAAUAGCGUAUAUUAAAGUUGUUGCAGUUAAAAAGCUCGUAGUUGGACUUGUGUGCGCUGUCCGCGGGUGGCCUGCGCCCAAAAGGGCGUUUCGGUUCGGCCCCGGUGGCGCCUUGAAAUCUGCAGCUGGGGGGACGUUGGCCUUAACUGGUCGGCGACCGCACGCCGGCUGCUCGGUUACUGUGAGAAAAUUAGAGUGUUCAAGGCAGGCAUUGGGUGCAAUUGAAUACAUUAGCAUGGAAUAAUAAAAUAUGGCUCCUGCCGUAUUUUGUUGGUUUUGACUGGUGGGAGUAAUGAUUGAUAGGGACGGUUGGGGGUGCUAGUAUUGAGCGGCCAGAGGUGAAAUUCAUGGAUUCGCUCAAGACUAACUUAUGCGAAAGCAUUCACCAAGGACGUCCUCUUUAAUCAAGAACGAAAGUUGGGGGAUCGAAGACGAUCAGAUACCGUCGUAGUCUCAACCAUAAACUAUGUCGACUUGGGAUCGGCGGUAGUUUUUUCAUUAAGACACUGUCGGGACCACGGGAGAAAUCAAAGUGUCUGGACUCUGGGGGAAGUAUGGUCGCAAGGCUGAAACUUGAAGGAAUUGACGGAAGGGCACCACCAGGAGUGGAGCCUGCGGCUUAAUUUGACUCAACACGGGGAAACUUACCAGGUCCAGAGAUGUAGAGGAUUGACAGAUUGAAGCUCUUUCUUGAUCACUUCGGUGGUGGUGCAUGGCCGUUCUUAGUUGGUGGAGUGAUUUGUCUGGUUAAUUCCGUUAACGAACGAGACCUCAGCCUGCUAGUGUAGUCGGCUGGAUUGCCUUUGGCGAUCCGUGAUUUCGACUUCUUAGAGGGACAAUCGACGCGCAGUCGAUGGAAGUUUGAGGCAAUAACAGGUCUGUGAUGCCCUUAGAUGUUCUGGGCCGCACGCGCGCUACACUGCUGGGCUCAGCGAGUUUUACUUGGCCGAGAGGCCCGGUUAAUCUUGUGAAAUCCCAGCGUUCUUGGGCUCGCCUCCUGCAACUGGAGGCGCCAACGAGGAAUUCCUAGUAGACGCAGGUCAUCAACCUGCAUCGAUUACGUCCCUGCCCUUUGUACACACCGCCCGUCGUUCCAUAAGAGUGAGGCAUCCGGUGAAUUCUCGGGAGAGCCUGGGCGUGGCCAGCAAUGGUCUGCUCGGGUUUGAACUUGCAUAAACUUGGUGCCUAUGAUUAGGG
rnacentral:rRNA from 1 species